rnacentral:misc_RNA from 1 species
GAUGAAGAACGUAGCGAAAUGCGAUAACUAAUGUGAAUUGCAGAAUUCCGUGAAUCAUCGAGUCUUUGAACGCACAUUGCGCCCCCUGGUAUUCCGGGGGGCAUGCCUGUUCGAGCGUCAUUUCACCACUCAAGCCUCGCUUGGUAUUGGGCAACGCGGUCCGCCGCGUGCCUCAAAUCGACCGGCUGGGUCUUCUGUCCCCUAAGCGUUGUGGAAACUAUUCGCUAAAGGGUGCUCGGGAGGCUACGCCGUAAAACAAACCCAUUUCUAAGGUUGACCUCGGAUCAGGUAGGGAUACCCGCUGAACUUAAGCAUAUCAAUAAGCGGAGGA